UCGACACACGUGGGUGUCCCUCCUGUGACUCUGAUCGCCAACCCCCUCUGGAACAUUAAGACUUCAAUGGCAGAAACUGAGCCCAUCUCUUAAUUUAGCAGAAAGAGAAACAAAUGCCACCAUUCUGACCAUCUCGAACUGGACACAGACACUGAAUGAACUGAAUCAGCUGCACUCAGGCCCCUGGGUGCUCUGGUUGGGAAGUGGCUUAAGUGGGUGUCCUGUGUCUCUUGCAGACUGGGGGUCACAUGUCUGAGAUUUAGGGGGUCAGUUGUAACAACGCAUUUGGAGGUGCCCAGAAUCGUUCCUUAUGCAGAAACUCCCUGAGGAAGAACCAUGACAGGCUCCUUUAACUCAAUAAAUUGAGUUUCUUUUGGAUUCCAUUCAGUU
rnacentral:lncRNA from 1 species